AGAAGGGCAAAACAGAGGGUCCAGGAAACUACAGGGUGAAUACCACUGAGUUUCUGCUGAGAUGAUUGGAAAAAAGUCAUUAAUUCAUACCCUAAAUCAGCCCUCCAAGACCAUCUUUAGCAGCGGUAUUGAUGAAGAAUGGUGAAGAAGAUAAAGAAUUAUUAAACAGUAGUAACUAAGCAUCCUAGCUGGUUCAGUGCUGAAGAUAUCUCAGGCAUGAGCUGACAGAAGGGAUGCACACCAUUAGGAGACAGAGGUUGAAGGAAUUCCAUAACACCGAGAUGUCUACGGUGUGGGUCUGCAGUGUCACACAAAUCCCUUUCUGUGGAUUUGUCAAUCCUGGGGUUUUUAGAGGGUGUGCCCCCAGGCGACAGCAACCCCACAGUGUGGUGGCGCUGGCCGUGGUGCACCAGGAGUUCAUUAACUCCCGGGGAGCACCCAAGAGCAACCCCCUUUUCUGUGGGCUGCGCCGUCUGGCGUCUCAUGCUUCCCUCUCCAGCACCUAUCACAGCAUCAUCAUGUAAAUUAGUAACCUGACUCUGUAGCUCAGUAGAUAGGCUAUUCAAUGGGAAAAUGUAUUAACAUUAAUUUUUUUUCCAUUAUUUAUUUCUGUAUAUGAUCCAGGAUUUG